UGGGGAAUAUUGCACAAUGGGGGAAACCCUGAUGCAGCGACGCCGCGUGGAGGAAGAAGGUCUUCGGAUUGUAAACUCCUGUUGUUGAGGAAGAUAAUGACGGUACUCAACAAGGAAGUGACGGCUAACUACGUGCCAGCAGCCGCGGUAAAACGUAGGUCACAAGCGUUGUCCGGAAUUACUGGGUGUAAAGGGAGCGCAGGCGGGCAGACAAGUUGGAAGUGAAAUCCAUGGGCUCAACCCAUGAACUGCUUUCAAAACUGUAUGUCUUGAGUAGUGCAGAGGUAGGCGGAAUUCCCGGUGUAGCGGUGGAAUGCGUAGAUAUCGGGAGGAACACCAGUGGCGAAGGCGGCCUACUGGGCACCAACUGACGCUGAGGCUCGAAAGUGUGGGUAGCAAACAGGAUUAGAUACCCUGGUAGUCCACACCGUAAACGAUGAUUACUAGGUGUUGGAGGAUUGACCCCUUCAGUGCCGCAGUUAACACAAUAAGUAAUCCACCUGGGGAGUACGACCGCAAGGUUGAAACUCAAAGGAAUUGACGGGGGCCCGCACAAGCAGUGGAGUAUGUGGUUUAAUUCGACGCAACGCGAAGAACCUUACCAAGUCUUGACAUCCCUUGACGAUGCUGGAAACAGUAUUUCUCUUCGGAGCAAGGAGACAGGUGGUGCAUGGUUGUCGUCAGCUCGUGUCGUGAGAUGUUGGGUUAAGUCCCGCAACGAGCGCAACCCUUAUGGUCAGUUACUACGCAAGAGGACUCUGGCCAGACUGCCGUUGACAAAACGGAGGAAGGUGGGGAUGACGUCAAAUCAUCAUGCCCUUUAUGACUUGGGCUACACACGUACUACAAUGGCGUUAAACAAAGAGAAGCAAGACCGCGAGGUGGAGCAAAACUCAGAAACAACGUCCCAGUUCGGACUGCAGGCUGCAACUCGCCUGCACGAAGUCGGAAUUGCUAGUAAUCGCAGAUCAGCAUGCUGCGGUGAAUACGUUCCC
rnacentral:rRNA from 1 species